rnacentral:rRNA from 1 species
AGGGUUUGAUCAUGGCUCAGGAUGAACGCUAGCGGCAGGCCUAACACAUGCAAGUCGAGGGGCAGCGGGAGUGCUUGCACUUGCCGGCGACCGGCGCACGGGUGCGGAACGCGUAUCGAAUCUGCCUCUAUCUGGGGGAUACCCCAUGGAAACGUGGAAUAAUACCCCAUAGUAUUACUUUAUCGCAUGAUUUAGUAAUUAAAGAAUUUCGGAUAGAGAUGACGAUGCGUAUCAUUAGCUAGUAGGUAAGGUAACGGCUUACCUAGGCAACGAUGAUUAGGGGUCCUGAGAGGGAGAUCCCCCACACUGGUACUGAGACACGGACCAGACUCCUACGGGAGGCAGCAGUGAGGAAUAUUGGACAAUGGUCGAAAGACUGAUCCAGCCAUGCCGCGUGCAGGAUGACUGCCCUAUGGGUUGUAAACUGCUUUUAUACGGGAAGAAAAACACCUACGUGUAGGUGACUGACGGUACCGUAAGAAUAAGGACCGGCUAACUCCGUGCCAGCCGCCGCGGUAAUAC